AUUCGAAACAAGGCAAUACGGUAGACCAAAAUACCACAUCCUGAAAUUCAAAAUUCAAGUACGUUAAGGCACUGGAUAUGGAUGAAGAAUUAGGAAGCGGAAUUAAAUUAUAAUUUGGAAUAUUUGCAUACUUCAAAUACCUUUUACAUAGAGAACAAGAUCGUCAGCAAAGAAUAAAUGUUUAACAGAAUUUGGAAUUUUCUUUAUGAAACAUACUAAACUAAGUAUGAAUAUGAGAGGUGAUAAAACGCAACCUUGAGGAGUACCUUUAGUAGAAAUUUUAGGACCAAAUAAACUAGAUUUAAUUUUCAAAAACAUAGAGCGCUUGUUCAGGAAAUUGUACAGCCAGAACAGAACAUGUCCUGGAAAGCCUAAAGAAUGUAGACUUUCAAUAAGAACCAGCUAUCGAAUCCAAAAACAAAGAUGCAUUAGCGGGAUUUUGAAAAAAACUUGAAGACGAAGAAAUGUUAUUGAGUUUAGCGUGCUUAAAUCUACGAAUGUGAUCCCA